UUCGUAGGUGGCCACUUAAGUCAGACGUGAAAUCCCUCAGCUUAACUGGGGAACUGCGUCUGAUACUGAGUGGCUUGAGUGCAGGAGAGGAAUGCGGAAUUCCAGGUGUAGCGGUGAAAUGCGUAGAUAUCUGGAGGAACACCGGUGGCGAAGGCGGCAUUCUGGACUGUAACUGACACUGAGGAACGAAAGCCAGGGAGCAAACG
rnacentral:rRNA from 1 species